rnacentral:rRNA from 1 species
CUGGUUGAUCCUGCCAGAGCUAUCUGCUAUAGGGGUUAGACUAAGUCAUGCAAGUUAAAGUAGCUUCGGCUACUUAGCGGAAUGCUGAGUAACGCGUAGAUAAUCUACCCUACAGUCUGGAAUAAUCCCGGGAAACUGGGGCUAAUACUAGAUAAUUGUUGCAUGUUGGAAUACAGCAACAAUGAAAGGUUUACCGCUGUAGGAUGAGUCUGCGUUCGAUUAGGUUGUUGUUGGGGUAAAGGCCCAACAAGCCGAGGAUCGGUAGGGGCCGUGAGAGCGGUAUCCCCCAGACGCGUACUGAGACAAGGACGCGCGCCUUACGAGGUGCAGCAGGCGCGAAAAUUGACCUAUGCACGAAAGUGUGAGUCAGUAACCCCUAGUGCCAUCUUCACGGAUGGCUUUUACUAAGUGUAAAAAGCUUGGAGAAUAAGUAGAGGGCAAGACCGGUGCCAGCCGCCGCGGUAAAACCGGCUCUACGAGUGGAUAGCGCUAUUACUGGGACUAAAGCGUCCGUAGGCAGAUUGAUACGUUCCUCAUUAAAUCCUUGGUCUCAAGCCAAGAACUCUGAGGAAUACGAUCUUUCUUGGGAACGGAAGAGGCAACCGGUACGUUAGGAGCAGGGGUGAAAUCCUAUAAUCCCUAACGGACCACCGAUGGCGAAGGCAGGUUGCUAGGACGUGUCCGACGCUGAUGGACGAAAGCUAGGGUAGCGAGCCGGAUUAGAUACCCGGGUAGUCCUAGCUGUAAACGAUGGCCAUUAAGUGUUUGGGGGCUAUAAGGCCUCCAAGUGCCGAAGCGAAGGCGUUAAAUGGCCCUCCUGGGAAGUACGAUCGCAAGAUUGAAACUUAAAGGAAUUGGCGGGAAAAUACCACAACGAGUGGAACCUGCGGCUUAAUUGGAUUCAACACCGGAAAACUCACCCGGAUCGACCAACUGCUGAAAGCCAAGCUGAUGACUUUGCUUGAGGUUGGAGAGCUGGUGCAUGGCCGUUUCAAGCUCGUGCCGUGAGGUGUCAACUUAAGUGUUGCAACGAGCGAGCUCCCUGUGAUUAGUUGCCAGCAAGCCCUUCGGGGUGUUGGGGACACUAAUUAGACUGCACGCGCUAAGUGUGAGGAAGGUGGGGGCCACAGCAGGUCAGUAUGCCGCGAAUAUCCGGGGCCGCACGCGGGUUACAAUGGGCAAGACAGAGGGUCUUCUACACCGAAAGGUGACGGUAAUCCCUAAACUUGCUCUCAGUCGGAAUUGCGGGCUGUAACUCGCCCGCAUGAACUUGGAAUUCGUAGUACUCGCAUGUCAUUAACGUGCGGGGAAUACGUCCCUAUUUUUUGCACACACCGCCCGUCGCAGCACGAGAGACUGCUUUUGAUGAGGCCGCCCCUCUGCGGAGAGGUGUUCGAAUCAGGGGUAGUUGAUUGGGCUGAAGUCGUAACAAGGUA